rnacentral:rRNA from 1 species
UACGUAGGGGGCAAGCGUUGUCCGGAUUUAUUGGGCGUAAAGAGCGUGUAGGCGGCUAAAUAGGUCCGUUGUGAAAACUCGAGGCUCAACCUCGAGAUGCCGAUGGAAACCAUUUGGCUAGAGUCCGGAAGAGGAGAGUGGAAUUCCCGGUGUAGCGGUGAGAUGCGCAGAUAUCGGGAAGAACACCCGUGGCUAAGGCGGCUCUCUAGUACGGUACUGACGCUGAGACGCGAAAGCGUGGGGAGCGAACAGG